GCUUGCAGGGCCCAAGUUCUGCUUCCCAAGGGUCUCUUGAGCUUGCUCAAGAACUGCCUGCAGAUACUUCCCUUGGGCUUCUAUCCGCAGCUGUAGAUGCCGUUGUACCUGAUACCAAAUUAGCUUCAGGAAUCCUAUCAGCAACACCUGUACAUCCAAGGGCUGCAAAUUGUCAUCAUCCAUGAGUUGCUAUGUGGCUAUUGUAGUGGUACCUGGAGAUGGCUUUUCAGAUGGUAUAAGAAACAGAUGCCGCUCCAUUGGAAAGGAUGUCCUAGUAGUGAAGAGGUCACUCCGACCCUGAUGUUGGUGAUACAUCUGCUGCAAAAUUAAUACACACUUUUAGAAGAAUGGAAACAUAAAGAGGCAAGCAUUUACACUAUCCUUUCUUACUUGUGUUAUCCAGUCUGUUUCUUCUCUUUGCUAUCACACGUCGAAACUGUUAUGAGUGCUUCUCUUUUGGCAGUGCCAAAGCCAGCACUCUUCUCCAAGCCUAGGUCUAUUGAUACUCUUUUGGUCUUCUCAGGUUGAUAAGCAGUUUGUUGUGAGGGGUUCCUUAUAUGGGGCAACAUAGAAUCUAGCAUCUUGGAAACAAUGAUCGAAUAUUUUUUAUGCCAACUAACAUAAGGUGCUGUCCUUAUAGUUACCUCUGAAAUUAACCACCCCCCCCCCCAAAACAAAAAAAAAGUCUUUAAAAAUGCACUAACCUUUUCUCUUCCUCUUCAUGCUUUUUAUGAAUAAACCAUUUUUCUCUUCCUCUUCAUGCUUUUUAUGAAUAAAUCACUGAAAGUAUGUAUAUACUAUAGUGAUAAGGACUCACAAUUGGAACAAAUUAUUGUUUUGAAUGUUGCUUUCUGGCAUAUCAUUCUGCUAUCUGAUCUAUUUGGAGUGUGAAAGAUAAUCACUAGAUGAAAUUAUUUGAGUACUCUAUGAUCAUAGCUGAUGGAUUGUUAUUUAGUUAGUAUUUUGAAACUGUUGCAUUUUGUUUUGUUUUACCUGUUUAAUGUUUAGUUGUUUAUAGCUGGGUGGUACUUGGUAUGUGUAUAUUUUGUUUAAAUGAAAAAAAGGACACUUAAUGUUAUGGUAGUAGAUUCCUUGUGGGUAAGGACAUCCUACAUAAACAUAAAUUCUGUCAAUUUUAUUCUGUCCUUUACUACUUUAAAGCAUAUGGAAUAUGAACAAGCAUAAGUUCCAUCAGCGUCCUUUCCUAAGAUUGGUACAUAUUCACAUUUCAGUCCAGAGAACUGUGGACCAAGAGGCUUAUGCUUUUUAUGUGAGAUAAGCUCCUUUUGAACCAGAUCUCUUUGAUUGUAAUCAUCACCAGUCAAAGAAACAGUACUUAGGUACUAUGUUUCUGUAUAUGUUUCACAACUAUCAUCAUUUCAGUACUUUUGCCAGUAGAGGCAGAUAGUUUGUUCCAUCGUGCUUCUUAUCUAAGUUCGACAUGAAAAGCUAGAUGUGAUCUGUUUGGAAAUGUAUGCAGGUCUAGCCCCUCCCUUUCCCCCUUCGUUUGUUUCUAAAACAGUAGCACAAUACUAAUUAUAGCGCUUCUUGCUUGGCUCUUAAGGAUGCCUGUACUGUAGAUACUCUGAUCUUAGUUUUGUUGCUCUCCUGUAACCAAGUCUGUCAGAGUUCUUUACAUGUUAUCAUUUUGCCUUAUACCUUAUAUGCAAUUUAUUAAGGGUGUUCACCUACUGUACUUUUGCACCAUUGCUCUUUUCUGUGAUUCGGUUGAUUGAAGAGGUGCCUCAUUAGAAGUGUGCCAAUGGCAUAUGUCGACACCUGGGACCACUAGUAAGAGCUUUCACCUGUCACAAUUUAAUGGUGUUCUUUAAUCAAUGAAAUGAACUAUCAGGAAUAUAUCUCUCUUUUUGUUUCACUGUCACUGGUGAUGUUGCACUUAACUCCCAUUAAGAGCUUUCUGUGAUGGCCACUGGUAUUGCUUACCAUUACAUGCUACUGUGCUAUGUUUCUUUUUCCGGAAGUAAGAACCUCAUGAGAUUUAGGGUAGAUGGGCGAUAUGAGAUUAUUUUAUCUUUGUUAUAUGAUGUUUAUGACACUCAUUUUACCAGUCAUAAAGCUGUUGCAUCUACUGCUGUGUUAGUGCUGAUAAGUGAUGGGUAUGGAGCAUGAUACGACAGUUGUACUGGAGGGUGGGCUGUCGUGCUUUCGACAUAUAAAGAAGUUAUCAAUAGAGAAUCUAAAGCAUUAUCCCAUGCUGAUCAUCUUUUGCAAAGUGGCAUCACUUGUGGGAGCGCAGGCAGUUGUAAAGACUGAUCCUGGUAGCAGUUCUAGAAUUGUAAGUUGCAUAUGACCUGGAACUUUCUGAUCUAUCUUUCAACCUCUUCAAUUGAGUUGCCUCUGCAUCUGCAAGCAUGCCUUGCCUGUUCAACAGUAGGAUUGCAGUGAGUUGUUUGUAUGAGCUAACAAUGCAGAGUCAACACCCCAGGGUAUAGGUGUCUCUUAAUUGUUAUUAUGAUCAGGUCAAUAGAAAAAAAGGGAUAAGAGUUUCUUGUUGUUCUUUUUUUUUUGUUUGUUUAUGUAAGAUGGAUGUUUUUUUUUCUUCUAUUAAUUUUUUGUGGUAAAUAAGGAAACAGUUUUAUUUUUAGAAUCUUUCAAUUGUCAAUAAUAUUGGACCCUUUUAAUUUUCUGACCCUUUUUGCUGAGAAGAGUUCCUUUUCCAAUCUUCUUGAUCAUCCUUUGUAAAUUGGUCAUUGGUACCAUACAAAGCAAAGUACAAAUCCGGUUGGAACCAAGCCAUCCCAGUUGCAUGGGUUACUUAUCUUGUAAAUGUAGGUUCUUUGUCCAGGCACCAUGAGCUUAGUGAAUGAAGGGAUUCUUGUGCUCAAGCAAUCUCCUCAGCAUCAAUUCUUUCUUGUUGUCCUUGGCAUCUGUGUUCAUCUUCAAGUUGCCCUGCAGCCCUGCACAAUACAAUUUUCUUUCUCAUCAAUGCUCUUAGAUGCGCAGUUCUCGUCUUUUUUCUGAUGCGCCUUGCCGGCAUCCUAAUCUCAAUAUUCCUUGCGCAGCACAGAAGCUUUCAGUAGCUUUCACAGAAUAUAUGCUGCCUGAGCGUGCAAAUAAACUAUCGUAGCGACGACUAUCUUGCGCUUAGUGAUAGUUACUGUUCAGGGAUGCUUUCUUGAUCAACUAGUCUGGUCUAGUGGUUAUGUGAUGCUCUUGUAGUUCAUGGGCACUGGGGGUUUGGGGAAGCACCUGAAGGAUUCAUUCCUGAUAUGGUAUCUAAUGCCAAAUUUGCACUCUAUAUGUUUUACCUUGUUUAUGACUGCGGGUGUAGUAAUGUUCUCUGAUGCCAUGUGGUAGUAGCUAGAUUUGUUUGAACGUAAUCUAAGGUUAUAUAAGAUUACACUGAGGCAAUGAGGGGGGCAUCUUUGAUAUUUCUUCCUUGGGAGUAUCGUUGGAGCAUAUGGAAUUUCUACUCCUGGUCAGUGCUUUUGGGCUUCCUCACUUUUUCAUAUUCCAAUGAUCAGAUUAGCAUUAGUCGUUGUCAUGAGAAAUAUUCCUCUUAGAAUGUGAGCAGUUGUGCCACAUUUCGCUUCCUGGUUUAUCGCAGGAUUGGAGGUGCACUCUCUCCAUGUUACCAACCACCUGCUGAAAACUUCGUUUGUGCUAUUUCGCCACAUUGCAAAUGUGCAAAUCACUUGGUACGGGUGGCAGAAAUUUCAUCAGUCAACAGUCGUAAUUAGAUCGAACCUUGUGUCAUAUGCUUAGUCCUUCUGCCUCAUUUGUUUCACUGUACUUGUAUUAACAGCAUAGCUUGUGGCCUAUGGACAACUUUUUGCAGCCGUUUUCAUCAAUUGAACUGAAGAAUGGACUCAAGCCAUCCAGGAUUCCAGUCCCAGAUGAUGCUGGUGGAGCAAAGUCAAGAGGUCUCAGUAAGGAAUGCUUUCUUUGCCUUCCCAUUCCAUCUCUGAUCAAGUGACCAUUUGAUAUGAUCCACUGAGAAAACCACCACAUUCUUGUAAACUAAACAGUAUCACACUUAUGCAACUCAAAUCUUCUUCGCAGGAUGAUUUUUUUGCGCUGGUGAACCGGUUGCCGGAGAGGGGCAGCCGAAUCUUUUGCCGCCGACCUGACUGACGGUGCAAAUCCCCGGUGCGGGAUACGGUGGAAGGCGAUCGGCCGAACCCGGUCUGCUCCACGGCUCAAUUCAUUCAUUGUCAAUGCGCGCAUCUACUGAAGAAGCUGAUAAGCUGUCUGGCUGGGCUAACCGAAAGUCGUGUGCAAAUGCAAUGGCAUCGUCAGCUCGUCGCGGUCGUGGAUGGCGAGUUGGCGACGCGUUGGUGCGUGGCCGUGCGUCUGUCUUUUGCUUCGCACGAUCAUCAGUUUUGCAGUUGCCUUCAUCGUGGCUUUAUUUGACCAUGAGCUCCGGCCAUCUGAAUCCCCAGGAGCCCAUUGAUACGUGCACCUAAUUAAGAGCCACAUUUGCAUGAAGCAUUGGAGGGGGCAAAUCCUGAAGCUUUCGUUUUUGCAGUGGUAUAAAGCAGCUAAGGGCCUGUUUGGUAGAGUUCCAACUUCUAAAUUUAACUUCAGGAGUUGGGUCUGGAGUAGAGUUGUGGAGCUGCCUAAACCCAGCUCCACUUCUCUAGUUCAUUUUGUGAGAGAGUUUCAUCCAGCUCCACUCUCAUUUUAGGUGGAGCUGAAACUGUUUGGCUGGGUUCUAGCUCCAGGAGAUGUGGAGCUGGAGCUGAGGCUCUAUCUCUUGUUUUUUUUCUUCUUUUGGAAAGCUAAAUUCCCUAUUGUAAAAAUGUGAGUUUUCUAACUGCCAACAAUUAUAGUUAACUACAGUAACAUAUUUCAAAAUUGAAUGUUCUUCUAACA